rnacentral:misc_RNA from 1 species
UCCGAGUUAGACCCGGCAGUCUCGCUAGACAUAGUAACUAGCGACGAGGGUUGCGCUCGUUGCGGGACUUAACCCAACACCUCACGGCACGAGCUGACGACAGCCAUGCAGCACCUGUAUACGCUCCCUUGCGGGUCGGUCACCUUUCGGAUCCCUACCACGUAUAUGUCAAGCCCAGGUAAGGUUCUUCGCGUUGCAUCGAAUUAAACCACACGCUCCGCUGCUUGUGCGCGCCCCCGUCAAUUCCGUUUGAGUUUUAAUCUUGCGACCGUACUCCCCAGGCGGAGUGCUUAACGCGUUAGCUUUGGCACUGCAGGGGUCAAUACCCGCAACACCAAGCACCCAUCGUUUACAGCUAGGACUAC